CGGGUGGAUCAAAGACCGGAGCUAACAUGGGGUUAGCUCGUUAAACUAUAAUAAAGCCUCAUGCAAUUUGCAGCAAGCUCUCGAAUCCGCCUGGUGAUUGGGGUGGCCGCGGACCUGGGCUAAGAUCCUGGAAGCCUGAGCUUUCCGGGGGUCUUACACUACUUGCAGAGUGGUCAGGAUCCCCAGGAGUCGUAUUGACCUAGGGUGGCCUCAUCUUCCAGCUCAAGCCUGCCCAAAGUCAGACUUAUUCUUCUGGGGUGCCCUUCAGUUAAGCUUUGAUCUUGGCAUGUAGCUCAAGGGUGUGGAACUCCUAGAUUCGGACGAAAAGCUGCAUGUUGGUGGCUGAUCUCUGGACACUGCUGCUCCCACCAUAUUCAGUUAGGCUGAAAAUUUUACUUACAUAUUAAUAUACUUCAAAAAAAGAAAGAUAUACAUACUAUAUACGGUCUUGGCUGGUUUGGAACUCACAGAGAACUGACUGUCUCUGCCUCCUGAGUGCUGAGAUGAAAGGUGAUGUGCCCUGCCCUGGAACACCCUUUUGUGAGUGAAAUCUUGACUGGAGAAAUUACUGUGACUGGAGCACUACUGCCACCUGGUGAUACAUACCCUAAUUACAGGAAAAUAUAUAAAAAGCUGAGUGAAGUUAAAAAAAAAUGACAACAAAUGUUAGUUUUAAACAGUCCUUUGAAAUUUAUGCUUAAUAAGGAAAUAGCUACCUAGAUCAAUUGACAUCUAUUAAUUAAAAAUAAGUGACAUUAAAUCUAAAAUCUUGUGACACACUAACUUCAGGUUUUUCAUCUGUAUCUUUGGGAAGGAAAACAAAAUCCACCUUUUAAAAAUUGCUUCAGGACACCCGGUGGUGGUGGUGGUGCAUGCCUUUAAUCCCAGCGCUUGGGUGGCAGAGAUCUCUGUGAGAUGGAGGCCAGCCUGGUCUACAGAGUGAGUUCCAGGACAGGCUCCAAAGCCACACAGAGAAACCUUGUCUCAAAUAGCAACAAACAAGCAAACAAACAAACAAACAAAAAUUGCUCCAGGGACUGGAGAGAUGGCUCAGCCUUAAGAGCACUGGCUGCUCUUCCCAGCAGAGGACCCGGCUUCAACUCCCAGCACCCACAUGCUGGCUCACAACUGUCUGUACCUGGAACUCCAGUCUCCUCAAGGGACCUCUUCUGGCCUCUACUGCCACCAGGCCCAAACGUACACAGACAUUCGUGCUUGUAACACUCAUACACAUUAAAAAAAAAGUUUGUGCAUCAAACUGAAGUAAUGGCAACAAAGAAAACCCCUCAAGUCCACAGUGAUGAGUGAGUGAUGGAGGGAAUAAGCAUGGAGAAGGAAAUCUUUCUUAGACACAAACUCCUAAAUAGGGUGGUAUCUGUCACCACUGCAAAGGAAAGGCAGUAAAUGAGCGGUAGAGAAGCUGGAAGGCUUGCACUGCUCAUCAGCUGGCACGGGACACCGCACACUUCCCGGCCGGAAGCUUGGAGAGCAUGGUGGUUCUCCUGUGAUUUGCUUGCACACGGGGUAACUGGACAGGAGUCAUGAG
rnacentral:lncRNA from 1 species